UCGAGCGCAGGAAUCGACGGAACCCUUCGGGGGGAAGUCGACGGAAUGAGCGGCGGACGGGUGAGUAACACGUAAAGAACCUGCCCUCAGGUCUGGGAUAACCACGAGAAAUCGGGGCUAAUACCGGAUGGGUCAUCGGACCGCAUGGUCCGAGGAUGAAAGGCGCUUCGGCGUCGCCUGGGGAUGGCUUUGCGGUGCAUUAGCUAGUUGGUGGGGUAAUGGCCCACCAAGGCGACGAUGCAUAGCCGACCUGAGAGGGUGAUCGGCCACACUGGGACUGAGACACGGCCCAGACUCCUACGGGAGGCAGCAGUAGGGAAUCUUCCACAAUGGACGAAAGUCUGAUGGAGCAACGCCGCGUGAACGAUGAGGCCUUCGGGUCGUAAAGUUCUGUUGUAAGGGAAGAACAAGUGCCGCAGGCAAUGGCGGCACCUUGACGGUACCUUGCGAGAAAGCCACGGCUAACUACGUGCCAGCAGCCGCGGUAAUACGUAGGUGGCAAGCGUUGUCCGGAAUUAUUGGGCGUAAAGCGCGCGCAGGCGGCCUCUUAAGUCUGAUGUGAAAGCCCCCGGCUCAACCGGGGAGGGCCAUUGGAAACUGGGAGGCUUGAGUAUAGGAGAGAAGAGUGGAAUUCCACGUGUAGCGGUGAAAUGCGUAGAAAUGUGGAGGAACACCAGUGGCGAAGGCCACUCUACGACUAU
rnacentral:rRNA from 1 species